rnacentral:rRNA from 1 species
UACGUAGGGGGCGAGCGUUGUCCGGAGUUACUGGGCGUAAAGCGCCCGCAGGCGGUCCUGUGCGUGGUUGGUGACAGUCCUCGGCUUAACUGAGGAAGCGCUGGCCAAACGGCAGGACUUGAGGACCAGAGAGGGAGACGGAACUCCGGGUGGAGCGGUGAAAUGCGUAGAGAUCCGGAAGAACACCAAAGGCGUAGGCAGUCUCCUGGCUGGUUUCUGACGCUCAGGGGCGAAAGCUAGGGGAGCAAACAGG